rnacentral:rRNA from 1 species
UACAGAGGUCUCAAGCGUGUUCGGAUUCAUUGGGCGUAAAGGGUGUGUAGGUGGCGCCGUAAGUCGGGUGUGAAAUUUCGGAGCUUAACUCCGAAAUUGCAUUCGAUACUGCGGUGCUUGAGGACUGGAGAGGAGACUGGAAUUCAUGGUGUAGCAGUGAAAUGCGUAGAGAUCAUGAGGAAGACCAGUGGCGAAGGCGGUCUCUGGACAGUUCCUGACACUGAGACACGAAGGCCAGGGGAGCAAACGGGG